UACUAUGUUACGACUUAUCUCGAAUAAAUAACGAGAGCGACGGGCGAUGUGUACACAUUCCAGAAACUAAUUCAUCUACACAAUCUAAAAUAAAAAUUACAUUCAAAUCCAAUUUCAUAUCAAAAUUUCACUCAAUAAUCCAAAAUAAAUACAAAAGUAACCCAUUACUACUUAAUCAUAAAUUGCACCUUGACCUGAAAUAACCUAAAAUAAAAACUAGAAAAUUAUAAACACUAUAAUGAUUCUCAAUACAACGGCGGUAUACAAAUCAAUAAAUUAAGUAAGGUCCAACGAGGAUUAUCGAUAAAAGAACAGGUUCCUCUGAACAGAAUAAAAUACUGCCAAAUUCUUUAAGUUUCAAAGACCAUAUCUAUUACUACUCAGGUUAAAUAAUUAACAUCAAAAAUAAUAGGGUAUCUAAUCCUAGUUU
rnacentral:rRNA from 1 species